AUUGAACGCUGGCGGCAGGCCUAACACAUGCAAGUCGAGCGGAGCAGCGGACGGGUAAGUAAUGCCUAGGAAUAUGCCUGGUAGUGGGGGAUAACGUCCGGAAACGGGCGCUAAUACCGCAUACUAGCAGAUGAGGCGAGGUCGGAGUAGCUAGAUGGUGGGGUAAAGGCGUACAAAGGCAACGAUCCGUAACUGGUCUGAGAGGAUGAUCAGCAACACUGGAACUGAGACACGGUCCAGACUCCUACGGGAGGCAGCAGUGGGGAAGAUUGGACAAUGGGCGAAAGCCUGAUGCAGCCAUGCCGCGUGUGUGAAGAAGGUCUUCGGAUUGUAAAGCACUUUAAGUUGGGAGGCGUUACUAACAGAAUAAGCACCGGCUAACUUCGUGCCAGCAGCCGCGGUAAUAC
rnacentral:rRNA from 1 species